UGAGCAAAGAGAUGGGAGGAGACCCUC
rnacentral:piRNA from 1 species